rnacentral:rRNA from 1 species
UAUGAAGGGUGCAAACGUUGCUCGGAAUCAUUGGGCGUAAAGCGCACGUAGGCGGCCUCAUAAGUCGGAUGUGAAAUCCCUCGGCUCAACCGAGGACGUGCAUCCGAAACUGUGAAGCUCGAGUAUGGAAGAGGGUCGCGGAAUUCCCGGUGUAGAGGUGAAAUUCGUAGAUAUCGGGAGGAACACCAGGGGCGAAGGCGGCGACCUGGGCCAAUACUGACGCUGAGGUGCGAAAGCGUGGGGAGCAAACAGG